CACGGGUGCGUAACGCGUGGGAAUCUGCCCUGGGGUCUGGGAUAACCGUUGGAAACGACGGCUAAUACCGGAUGAUGAUGAAAAUCCAAAGAUUUAUCGCCCUGGGAUGAGCCCGCGUCCGAUUAGGUAGUUGGUGGGGUAAGAGCCUACCAAGCCGACGAUCGGUAGCUGGUCUGAGAGGAUGAUCAGCCACACUGGGACUGAGACACGGCCCAGACUCCUACGGGAGGCAGCAGUGGGGAAUAUUGGACAAUGGGCGAAAGCCUGAUCCAGCAAUGCCGCGUGAGUGAUGAAGGCCUUAGGGUUGUAAAGCUCUUUUACCCGGGAUGAUAAUGACAGUACCGGGAGAAUAAGCCCCGGCUAACUCCGUGCCAGCAGCCGCGGUAAU
rnacentral:rRNA from 1 species